UGGUGAGACUGGCCUUGAACUUGCAAUCCUCCUACCAUAGUCUCCUGAGUCACUGGGAUUACAUGUGUUCAGCCAGACACUAUAACAUUCAGCAGCUAAAGCCUGGUGUUUCAGAUGGUUAAUAAUGAAACAGAAUAUCUGUACAGUUGAGUAAACUGCAGGUCACACCUACUUACUGUGUGACUUUCGGUAGAGUCAUUGUUAUUCUGUUAAAAUGGAGAGAUGAAGACGGUGUGAGUCAAUGACUGCCCAGCAAAUGUGUGAAGUGUUCAUUUGCCAGUGCCUCCUGUAGAGUUACCCAAUCAUAGUGCAGCCCAAAGCACAGAAACCCAACCUGACUAUCCCACCCCACUGAGCAGUAGCCCACUCUAUAGUGGAGGUGCCUAGGAAAGCAGGCUCUUCCUGGGAAGAGCCCUGUCCAGCAGCUGAAAGCAUCAGCAUUGCCAUGACUCCCAUCUACAUGGACAGCCCAUGAAAGGACAAGAUAAAUAUUCUACCUCUGCUUUUAACUUUCUGCUGAGAAUAAGCCUUAGGACACCCAUGUUACAGGGACCAAGAAGUUUGCUGAUAAGCUACUGAAGGAGUUCACUGACUUCUGCACCAACUGCAAUAACUGGCUGGUUAUGUUAUGAACAAGUUGCCUGAACAAGUUGCACACCAGUGCCCCAUGAAUCCAGGCCACUCGGCCCAAAAGAAUCCAGGCCAUUCAAGUGCAGAGGAUUCCUGUCAGGCUCUAAGGAUCAGGUUAUCAGUUUGCCUCUGCUAGUUAGUGGGAGCCCUUGCUUCUUUUUGGCUCUCCAACAAGUAUUCUAUUCUACUCAGGAGAAAGACUUGGGAAGCAGCUGCUGCUGCUACCACCACCCAGAUUCUGUCAGCAAGUGCCCAGAGCAGGUGGGAGGCACAGAUUUUCUGUGGGAGGGCUUCAGUGUCUGGGAAAGGGGGCAGGCAGCCCCCAUGAAUGUCUUUGGAGAAGGAAUGGCUCCUGUCAGCAUCCUUUUUCUCCACUGUCUGUGGAGUAAUAAGAGCAGAAUCUGCUGCUUCAUGUCCAGGAGUGUGCACAGUAUGAAUAGAAUUAAGUGAAAUAAUAUAACAUAGACUCAUACAAACUGUAUAUACCUGUACUUAUUAGAAGCCAAUAAAGCUUCACUUACA